rnacentral:tmRNA from 1 species
CUACUUCACAUUAAGACCGGCAUCGCUAUAUAGGCGGUGCCGGUUUUUUGUCGGCUAUGGCGAUAAAUUGCGCCGUGCAAUAGGUACAACGGACCCGGGGGCAGUACCCGGCGGCUCCACCAUAAUCCGCGGAAUGCCGCGGUUUCUGACGGGGCCGAACCAGGAUCGACGUGUGCUGAAAGACGGUGUUUUCGUCCGGGCUGAGUACCCCGUAAAACUGUUCGCAACACACAAGUGCCAACGAUAACGAAGCACUCGCUCUCGCUGCGUAAUGUGACGGGCUAACGCCCUGAAGUUACAAAGCUAAAGCGCGGUUGGACCCACCGGGCAACAGAAGCGGAUUCCG